CCCAGGCUUGGGGCGGGAGGAGAGGGGUCCAGGGCCGCUGUCUCCAGACCCUGGGGAAUCACUGUCCGGGAAGAGACAGAGCUCCGGGGUGCACCAAGGAUGCACACGCCACUUGUUGGAGAUCACGCAGUCCCUGUUGAGGGUCCUGGCAAGGCAAGGCCUGGCUCCUCUCUGGUCCUCUGAGGGCCACCUGCCCCGGCAAGGGUGCCUCUGUGGCAAUCACGGGAUUAGGGAGGCAGACAAAACGUGAUGGAGACAGAAUGUAACAAUGCCAGAAAGGAAGCACAAGGGUGCCCAGAGGGCACUCAGCAGAAAGCCUGGCAUCAGAAAGGCUGUGAUUAUUCCCGGCAUGUGGGAAUUACAGACCAGUUUCUGUGGGACUCCAGAGGAGUUCCCUAGAGAAGAGUGUGACCAUCGCAGGCGCUUGGAAAGGGCCAGGACCUGGAGGAACGUCAUGGGCCAUCCUCCUUGGGCACCCCUCUUGUGUCCACCCACAGCGAGACUUGCCCGGACACCCUCUCCGCCGGCCCCACUUCUGCUGAUGCCCAUUCUUCGCCUCAACUAACAGCACCCUCUGCAUUUGCUGGCUCCUUUGAUUCUUCUCCAAGCCCCAGUGAGUCCGGAAUUCACAAGUCCCCCAUCACGGCGAUGGCUAGUUGUGGAGUCCUAGCCUUUUGUCGAAAUGGGGGCGUCCAACCAAGUGCAGACAGCUACUCACACAUCACUUGGGGUGGACUCAGUCCUCCCUACAACUUCUGUGUUCCACGUCCAUCCGCGGCUUCUCCGGGGCGGUUGACGACUGGACACAUUGCAGGC
rnacentral:lncRNA from 1 species